AGAGUUGAUCUGGCUCGAGGACGAACGCUGGCGGCGUGCCUAAAACAUGCAAGUCGAACGGUGUCCGCAAGGGCACAGUGGCGAACGGCUGAGUAACACGUGAGUGACCUGUCCUUGGGUGGGGGAUAACAGUCCGAAAGGAUUGCUAAUACCGCAUAAGUCCUCGGGGGUAGAGCCCCGAGGGGAAAGGUUUUUCGCCCGAGGAGGGGCUCGCGGCCCAUCAGGUAGUUGGUGAGGUAACGGCUCACCAAGCCUAUGACGGGUAGCUGGUCUGAGAGGAUGGCCAGCCAGACUGGGACUGAGACACGGCCCAGACUCCUACGGGAGGCAGCAGUUAGGAAUCUUGCGCAAAUGGGGGAAACCCUGACGCAGCGACGCCGCGUGGGCGAUGAAGGCCUUCGGGUCGUAAAGCCCUUUUCCGAGGGACGAUAAUGACGGUACCUCGGGAAUAAGCCCCGGCUAACUACGUGCCAGCCGCCGC
rnacentral:rRNA from 1 species